UCAUAUGUACAUGUCUACAAUGUUAAUGCACCAAAUCCCAAUAGAAUUUCGCUAUUAAGUGUGCUUGGACUAGAGUAGUACUGGGAUGGGUGACCUCUUGGGAAGUCCUAAUGUUUUACAUGCC
rnacentral:rRNA from 1 species